GAUGAACGCUAGCGGCAGGCUUAACACAUGCAAGUCGAGGGGUAUAGUAGCAAUACUAGAGACCGGCGCACGGGUGCGUAACGCGUAUGCAAUCUACCUUUUACAGAGGGAUAGCCCAGAGAAAUUUGGAUUAAUACCUCAUAGCAUUGCGAAAUGGCAUCAUUUUGCAAUUAAAGUCACAACGGUAAAAGAUGAGCAUGCGUCCCAUUAGCUAGUUGGUAAGGUAACGGCCUACCAAGGCAACGAUGGGUAGGGGUCCUGAGAGGGGAGAUCCGCCACACUGGAACUGAGACACGGUCCAGACUCCUACGGGAGGCAGCAGUGGGGAAUUUUGGACAAUGGGCGCAAGCCUGAUCCAGCCAUGCCGCGUGAGUGAAGAAGGCCUCGUGUUAGA
rnacentral:rRNA from 1 species